GACGAACGCUGGCGGCGUGGAUUAGGCAUGCAAGUCGAACGGUAGGAUACCUUCGGGUAUCUGAGAGUGGCGAACGGGUGAGUAACACGUAGGUGAUCUACCCUCAAGAUUGGGACAACCCAGGGAAACUUGGGCUAAUACCGGAUGAAAGCAGCAGUGAUGUUGUUUGAAAGGUGGCGUAAGCUGCCGUUUGGGGAUGAGCCUGCGCUCUAUUAGUUAGUUGGCGGGGUAAAGGCCCACCAAGGCGAUGAUUAGAUAGGCGGCCUUAACGGGUGGUCGCCCACACUGGGAUUGAGAUACGGCCCAGACUCCUACGGGAGGCAGCAGUCGAGAAUAGUCUACAAUGGCCGAAAGGCUGAUAGUGCGACGCCGCGUGAACGAAGAAGCCCUUCGGGGUGUAAAGUUCUUUUAUAUGUGAGCAGUGCUUUCUAUGUGAACAGCAUGGGGAGAGAGAUAUUAGCAUAUGAAUAAGCAACGGCUAACUCCGUGCCAGCAGCCG
rnacentral:rRNA from 1 species